rfam:Brassica oleracea var. oleracea cultivar TO1000 chromosome C1, whole genome shotgun sequence
AAUCCCUGUGAUGAUUAUUAUGAUUAAAAAUGUUAAAAGUAGUGACUGAUAUCUUCUUGAUUAGAAACUAUCAGCUCUGAGGGAUU